rnacentral:lncRNA from 1 species
ACCUCUGUGAACCCCGCGUAUCCACCGCUGCUUUUCUCUUCAUCAAGUGGCACUGCAAAGUCCAUUCCAAAGCUCUGGAAGAUUGUGCUGUAGAAGCAAAAGCAGGCAGCUGCUACCGGGGAGAUAAAUGGGACCUGGAAGACCCCAGCAGUUCUGUGGAAGAGAGCAGUGUGUGCUGACAUCUGAGCAUGUCUCUGGGGGAGUGUCCCUUACAAACUUCCAUGGGAUUGGAGAGAAAGCCCAGAACACUGAUGCUCUUCCAGAGGACCCAGGUUCAAUUCCCAGCCCUCACACGGGAGAAUCAAUCACGCCGUCAUCUGCGGUUCAGACUCUUCUGUAGAACUUAACGAGCAGAGACACAACCAUGGGGAAGAACAUGACUGGGAGCCAGUCCCUA